UUAAUGUUCAACGUUUGACCAUUCGUCCUCCAAUGUUUGACCAUUCGUCUUAUUUGAAUUUUUUUUAUAAUUAGUAAUUUCAUUGUUAUUAGAUGAUAAAGCAUGGAUAAUAUUUUAUAUGUGACUAUUUUUUUAUAAAUUUUUUAAAUAAGACGAACGGUCAAACGUUGGACACGCAUAUACACGGCCGCACUUAUU
rfam:Oryza sativa (indica cultivar-group) chromosome 1, whole genome shotgun sequence.